rnacentral:rRNA from 1 species
CAGCCGCCGCGGUAAUACCGAGGGUGCUAGCGUUAAUCGGAUUUACUGGGCGUAAAGCGUGCGUAGGCCGUUUGUUAAGUCGGAUGUGAAAGCCCUGGGCUCAACCUAGGAAUUGCAUUCGAUACUGGCAGACUAGAAAUCGGUAGGGGGAGGCGGAAUUCCCGGUGUAGAGGUGAAAUUCGUAGAUAUCGGGAGGAACACCAGUGGCGAAGGCGGCGAUCUGGGAAGAUACUGACGCUGAGGUGCGAAAGCGUGGGGAGCAAACAGGAUUAGAUACCCGAGUAGUCCCUGUCUCUUAUAC